rnacentral:rRNA from 1 species
GUACAUGCUUACAACAUAGCGUUAAUGCACCGUAUCUCAUUGAAACUCUGCAGUUAAGCGCCCUCGAGCUAGAGUAGUACUGGGAUGGGUGACCGUCUGAGAAGUCCUAGUGUUUUUUUAU